GGGGCCGUAGUUCAGUUGGGAGAACACUUGACUGGCAGUCAAGAGGUCACGGGUUCGAGCCCCGUCGGCUCCACCA
rnacentral:tRNA from 2 species